rnacentral:tRNA from 1 species
GGGGUUGUAGCUCAGUAGUAGAGUGCUUGCUUCACAGGCAUGAGGCACUGGAUUCAAUCCUCAGCACCA